rnacentral:rRNA from 1 species
GGAAUAUUGGUCAAUGGGGGCAACCCUGAACCAGCCAUGCCGCGUGCAGGAAGACGGCCCUCUGGGUUGUAAACUGCUUUUAUUCGGGAAUAAACCUACUUACGUGUAAGUAGCUGAAUGUACCGAAGGAAGCAGGAUCGGCUACCUCCGUGCCAGCAGCCGCGGGAAUACGGAGGAUGCCAGCGUUAUCCGGAUUUAUUGGGUUUAAAGGGUGCGUAGGCGGCCUGUUAAGUCAGGGGUGAAAGACGGUAGCUCAACUAUCGCAGUGCCCUUGAUACUGAUGGGCUUGAAUGGACUCGAGGUAGGCGGAAUGUGACAAGUAGCGGUGAAAUGCAUAGAUAUGUCACAGAACACCGAUUGCGAAGGCAGCUUACUAUGGUCUUAUUGACGCUGAGGCACGAAAGCGUGGGGAUCAAA